GGGUUUUUUGAGGGUUAAGGUGAGGGAGGCUAAGGAAAGUGGAAGUGUAAAGCUCAGGAGGUAAGAGCAUUCCUAGAAAAUGAAGAGUUUUGCAAAAUUUGAUGUGGAACUUGUAUUAAAUCAUGGUGGGAAUUGUGAUGUUGAGAAGAGAAGGUUUAACUGUUAGUAGUAGCUUUACAAGAAAGACUUUGGGUUGGCCCCUGGAUUUUAUGAUACUGAUCCUUACCCUUUAAAAGCCUGAGACUGCUUCUGCAGGUACAUGGGAACAGGGGUUGCCAUGGAGAAAGGGGAUAAGCAAAGGGAGCGGAAAAGGAAGAAAAGGAGAAAAGGCAAUAAAGAGGACAAAAAUGGAAGCUAAGCCAAAUGGCAGAGCCCUGACAGCAAAGCCAGGAGUUCUCAGUGCCACAGAUUAUGUGAGGAACUGCUAAAGAAGCAAUUCCGCAAAGUGAGUGAGGGCCCAUGGGCCACUGCAUGACCUGCAUGGAAGGUAUGGAUUAUUUGACUUUUGCUGUCUGUCUCUUCCUGUGGUCUCUACACUACUUAUUGUCACCAGCCUAGGUAAGGAGAGCUUGAGCACCCCGGGGCCUGGCUUUUGUAGCAGGGCCACUUCAAGGCCUGCGACCAGAGGCACCAGCGCCUGCUGGGCCAGGCAGGGCUCCUGCGUACCUGGAACUGCACAGAGAGGGGCUGACACCGAAGAGCAAACCGCUCCUACAGACCGAGCGGAGGCGAUGUGCGUUCCCACGUCCCCCCCUGGCCUCCGGAUCGCUCCGGGCCGUAAUGAGCCGC
ensembl:lncRNA